UACGGAAGGCAGCAGUGGGGAAUAUUGCACAAUGGGCGCAAGCCUGAUGCAGCCAUGCCGCGUGUAUGAAGAAGGCCUUCGGGUUGUAAAGUACUUUCAGUCGUGAGGAAGGUGUUAAGGUUAAUAACCUUAGCAAUUGACGUUAGCGACAGAAGAAGCACCGGCUAACUCCGUGCCAGCAGCCGCGGUAAUACGGAGGGUGCGAGCGUUAAUCGGAAUUACUGGGCGUAAAGGGCACGCAGGCGGUUAAUUAAGUUGGAUGUGAAAUCCCCGGGCUUAACCUGGGAAUGGCAUUCAAGACUGGUUAGCUAGAGUCUUGUAGAGGGGGUUAGAAUUCCAUGUGUAGCGGUGAAAUGCGUAGAGAUGUGGAGGAAUACCGGUGGCGAAGGCGGCCCCUGGGACAAAGACUGACGCUCAUGUGCGAAAGCGUGGGGAGCAAACAGGGAUUAGAUAC
rnacentral:rRNA from 1 species